rnacentral:rRNA from 1 species
UACGUAGGUGGCAAGCGUUGUCCGGAAUUAUUGGGCGUAAAGCGCGCGCAGGCGGUCCUUUAAGUCUGAUGUGAAAGCCCACGGCUCAACCGUGGAGGGUCAUUGGAAACUGGGGGACUUGAGUACAGAAGAGGAAAGCGGAAUUCCACGUGUAGCGGUGAAAUGCGUAGAGAUGUGGAGGAACACCAGUGGCGAAGGCGGCUUUCUGGUCUGUAACUGACGCUGAGGCGCGAAAGCGUAGGGAGCAAACAGG